ensembl:snRNA U6 U6 spliceosomal RNA
GUGCUCGAUUUGGCAGCACAUAUACUAAAAUUGGAACGAUACAGAGAAGAUUAGCAUGGCCCCUGCACAAGGAUGACACGCAAAUUCGUAAAGCGUUCCAUAUUUAA